GAAAAUUGCUGAUUUUUCUCCCUAACAAUAUUAACCAAAUAUGAUUAACAAUAUUUUAAAUUUUGGCUACUAAAAAAAAAUUGUGUAACCGUUUUAGAAUAUCCAUAUCCCAAAUCACAUUUAUAACAAACUAAAAGAGCAUAUUUGCAUAUACCAAAAAAGUAAAUAAUAUCUUAGCAGAUAUAUUUCUCCUUUUUUCAGUUUCAAAAUUAUCAUUUCAAUUUUUCAUAACGAAUCCAAAGAGAAUAUACUCCUAAUUAUACCAAAACUCGGUUCGCAAGGCAUAUCUUUAUAAAUAUCUUUAAACGAAAAUCUUUAAUAUCCAUGUAUCCUCUUUAAACCUAUUUAUUUUGCUAUAUAUACUAUCUAAGCGACACAUUCAAUCUAAACUAAAGCACACAACUUAAGCAAACAAAAUAAAUGCUACACCAAAGUUAUCAUAUACAUGUCCGAUAUCAAGCUUUACAAAACUGAAUGGUGGAUCGCAGUGAAAGUUGUUCACACCAGAUAACAAUUCAGUGAACAAUUUGGUGAGACAUUGGAACUCAUUUUCUCUGACAAGAAGGAUCAAAAAAUCAUGCAUCAUGCAAAAAACUACUUGCUUAGUUUGGGCAGGGACUUCCAUGUGGGUGAUUGGAAAAACAGAGAAUUAUUUCCACUAAGUGCAGCAGCUGGUGGAUACUAACCUACCACUCACGUUAUAAAAUGGGGUUUAUGAAGUUCACCUCCAUUACUCCAUAUAAAUUCAGUAAUAUGAUGUUGUGGAACAAGCCAUAGAUAUUGUAGAAAAAAGCCAUUAAACGUAAGUAACCACCUUCUUUUAAAAAAAACGAAACCACCUUCUACAGCCGCUUAUAAACUCCUAUUUUAUAGGCUAUGUAUAAGGCAACAAAUAAAAAAUAUCGAACUCAUAUUUGGUACAUAAAUAUACGGAAUUUAAAUUUAUGAUCUACAAAGUAUAUUUUUGGAAGUAAAUUUAAGAUUACUAAAACUAUUUAAGUUAAUAUUAUUAUGGAAUUAUUAUUUAUAAAAAUAUAUACUUAUGAAGAGACCAGUUAUAGUCAAUAUGUGACCUCACAACCCAUCCAUACAUAGUGUUAUUUGCUUAAUUGUUACUCUAAUGGUGAAAUGAUAAGAAUUUAUUUAACGGAUUUUAAAUAGGUUAUUAAAAAAAAAAUAUUUACUAAAUGUGAUUUUACUUGAAGUUAGUGAAGAACAUAUCAACCCAUUUGUAAAUAUAUAUAACAAAAUAUAUUAAAAUUAUUUUUUUAAGACAUUUUUCAAAAAAAAAACGGUUUUCGGUGCGGGUUAGAUUUAAUAUUGGUUUUUGGAUAUAACACUUUUAAGAACCGUUCGAGUAUAUAUGUCAAGUCUAACAGAGCACGAGACUUUGAUUUUCGAGUCGAUUCCGAAUCGGAUUCUUUGGGUACGAAACAUUCUUAACUAAUUAUGUUAGGAAACUACUAAAAAAAUAUAAUAUGUUGCAAACUUUAAAAAUAAAUUAUUAAAAUAAUCUCUUAUAUGCAUAUGACACCAAUAUAUAGUUAUACAACUUGACAUAUUUAAUAUAUUUACCAAAAAUUUACUAAAUUAAAUUAAUAUUAAACACAAAUAUGAUUAAGAAAAUAACACAAAUAUAAAAAUUAAAUUUCUCAAAAAAAUUAA